GACGAACGCUGGCGGCGUGCCUAAUACAUGCAAGUCGAACGCAGGGGGGAAGGGUGAGUAACACGUGGGUAACCUCCCAUCAGAGGGGAUAACACUGGGAAACAGGUGCUAAACAGAUACUGAUGGAUGGACCCGCGGUGCAUUAGCUAGUUGGUGAGGUAACGGCGCACCAAGGCCACGAGGCAUAGCCAGCCUUGUGGGGGUAUCGGCCAAACUGGGCCUGGGAACCCGCCCAGACCCCUACCGGAGGCAGCAAGAGGGAAUUUUCGGCCAUUGGGGGAACCCGGGCCGAGCAACGCCGCCUGGGUGAAUAAAGUCUUCAGAGCGUAAAGCUCGUUUGUUUAGGAAGCGGUACCUACCCAGAAAGGGCCGGCUAACUUCGUGCCAGCAGCCGCGGUAAUAC
rnacentral:rRNA from 1 species